UACGUAGGUGGCAAGCGUUGUCCGGAUUUACUGGGCGUAAAGCGAGCGCAGGCGGACCGUUAAGUAGGAAGUGAAAGGUCGGAGCUCAACUCCAACAUUGCUUUCUAUACUGGCGGUCUUGAGUCACGGAGGGGAAAGCGGAACGACACGUGUAGCGGUGAAAUGCGUUGAUAUGUGUCGGAACACCAAUGGCGAAGGCGAGCUUUCUGGACGAGU
rnacentral:rRNA from 1 species